UACGAAGGACCCGAGCGUUAUCCGGAUUCAUUGGGUUUAAAGGGUGCGUAGGUGGAAUGAUAAGUCAGUGGUGAAAUCUCCGGGCUCAACCCGGAAACUGCCAUUGAUACUGUUGUUCUUGAGUACAGCUGAUGUGGGCGGAAUGUGCGGUGUAGUGGUGAAAUACUUAGAUAUCGCACAGAACACCGAUUGCGAAGGCAGCUCACAAAACUGUAACUGACACUGAUGCACGAAAGCGUGGGGAUCAAACAGG
rnacentral:rRNA from 1 species